GAUGAAGAACGCAGCGAAAUGCGAUAAGUAAUGUGAAUUGCAGAAUUCAGUGAAUCAUCGAAUCUUUGAACGCACAUUGCGCCCCCUGGUAUUCCGGGGGGCAUGCCUGUUCGAGCGUCAUUUCACCACUCAAGCCUCGCUUGGUAUUGGGCAACGCGGUCCGCCGCGUGCCUCAAAUCGACCGGCUGGGUCUUCUGUCCCCUAAGCGUUGUGGAAACUAUUCGCUAAAGGGUGUUCGGGAGGCUACGCCGUAAAACAACCCCAUUUCUAAGGUUGACCUCGGAUCAGGUAGGGAUACCCGCUGAACUUAAGCAUAUUCAAUAAGCGGAGGA
rnacentral:misc_RNA from 1 species